GGGCCGGAUCCUGGACCAUGGCGGCGGCGGGGGGUGCCGAGGGGCAGCGCGCGGCCCUGGAGGCGGCGGCGGCGGCAGCUCCUGAGCGGGGAGGCGGGAGCUGCGUGCUGUGCUGCGGAGACCUGGAGGCCACGGCGCUGGGCCGCUGCGACCACCCGGUGUGCUACCGCUGCUCCACCAAGAUGCGGGUGCUCUGCGAGCAGCGCUACUGCGCCGUGUGCCGCGAGGAGCUGCGCCAGGUGGUCUUUGGGAAGAAGCUUCCUGCCUUCGCCACCAUCCCCAUCCACCAGCUGCAGCAUGAGAAGAAAUAUGAUAUCUACUUUGCAGAUGGAAAGGUGUAUGCAUUGUACAGGCAGCUGCUGCAGCACGAGUGCCCGCGGUGCCCCGAGCUGCCGCCUUUCAGCCUCUUCGGGGACCUGGAGCAGCACAUGCGGAGGCAGCAUGAGCUCUUCUGCUGCCGGCUGUGCCUCCAGCACCUCCAGAUCUUCACAUAUGAGCGCAAGUGGUACUCGCGCAAGGACCUGGCCCGGCAUCGCAUGCAGGGUGACCCCGAUGACACGUCGCACCGUGGGCACCCGCUCUGCAAGUUCUGUGACGAGCGCUACCUGGACAAUGAUGAGCUGCUUAAGCACCUGCGCCGCGACCACUACUUCUGCCACUUCUGCGACUCGGACGGGGCCCAGGACUACUACAGGUGGGCCGGGCAGCAGACAGACAGAUGACCCUCCCUCCCCCAGGGCGUGGGGCUAACCGGGCUGCAGCCCUCCUACCGACACCCCAUCUCCUGCCAGCGACUAUGCCUACCUGCGUGAGCACUUCCGGGAGAAGCACUUUCUGUGUGAGGAAGGCCGCUGCAGCACGGAGCAGUUCACCCACGCCUUCCGCACCGAGAUCGACCUCAAGGCCCACAGGACGGCCUGCCACAGUCGCAGCCGCGCCGAGGCGCGCCAGAACCGCCAGAUCGACCUGCAGUUCAGCUACGCGCCACGGCACUCGCGCCGGAACGAGGGGGUCGUUGGUGGCGAAGACUACGAGGAGGUGGACAGGUACAGCCGCCAGGGCCGAGUGGCCCGGGCCGGCACUCGCGGAGCCCAGCAGAGCCGCCGAGGAAGCUGGAGGUACAAAAGGGAAGAAGAGGACCGAGAAGUAGCAGCUGCCGUCCGGGCCUCCGUGGCCGCACAGCAGCAGGAGGAGGCUCGCAGGAGUGAGGACCAGGAGGAAGGUGGUCGGCCCAAGAAGGAGGAGGCAGCGGCGCGGGGUCCUGAGGAUCCCCGUGGCCCCCGGCGCUCACCCCGGACUCAGGGCGAAGGCCCAGGCCCCAAGGAAACCUCGACAAAUGGUCCUGUAAGCCAAGAAGCCUUCUCGGUGACGGGCCCAGCCGCCCCAGGCACCCUCCCACCACCCAGCCCGAAGCUCAAGGACGAAGACUUCCCCAGCCUCUCUGCCUCCACUUCCUCCUCCUGCUCCACUGCAGCAACCCCAGGCCCCGUGGGGUUGGUGCUGCCGUACGCCAUCCCUGCCAGAGGCAGGAGUGCCUUCCAGGAGGAGGACUUCCCCGCCCUGGUAUCCUCGGUGCCCAAGCCUGGCACCACCCCCACCAGCCUCGUCUCUGCUUGGAACAGCAGCAGUAGCAGCAAGAAGGUAGCACAGCCCCCACUCUCGGCGCAGGCUACCGGCAGCGGCCAGCCCACCAGGAAGGCUGGGAAGGGGAGCAGGGGCAGCAGGAAGGGCGGCCUGCCCCUCACACAGGAGGAGGAGGGCGGCAGCCCGGCUGUGCAGGAGCUUCUAAGCACACGCCCCACGGGCUCCGUCUCCUCCACACUGGGGCCGGCCUCCAUCCAGCCCUCUAAGGUUGGCAAGAAGAAGAAAGUGGGCUCGGAGAAGCCGGGCACCACACUGCCACAGCCCCCACCCACUACCUGUCCCCCAGGGGCUUUGCAGGCCCCGGAAGCUCCUGCCAGCAGAGCCGAGGGGCCAGUUGCCGUCGUCGUUAAUGGACACACAGAGGGCCCGGCCCUGGCUCGGAGUACCCCCAAGGAACCCCCAGGGCUCCCAAGGCCUCUGGGGUCCUUCCCCUGCCCCACGCCACAGGAGGACUUCCCAGCGCUCGGUGGCCCCUGCCCGCCCCGGAUGCCGCCGCCC
rnacentral:sRNA from 1 species